rnacentral:rRNA from 1 species
GAUGAACGCUGGCGGCGUGCCUAACACAUGCAAGUCGAACGGAAAGACGCUGAGCUUGUGCCUUUGUCGUUUGCGGCGGGCGGGAGGGUAACGCGUGUAUCCUCUCCUUAUAUUUCGGGGAAAAUUACGGAACAGGGGAUAUAAUCCCAGAUCAUAUCUUGAACCGCGUGGUGCAUUGGAAAAUGGCGGCUUUUGUGUCUGUUAUAGCUGAUUCGGUGCUGCAUUGGCUAGUUGGUAGGGUAACGGCCUAUCAAGGGGACGCUGCGUGGCCGAGCUGAGAGGGUGAUCGGCCACACUGGAACUGAGACACGGUCCAGACUCCUACGGGAGGCAGCAGUAGGGAAUCUUCCGCAAUGGGCGGAAGCCUGACGCAGCAAGGCCGCGUGAGUGACGAAGGCCUUCGGAUCGUAAAGCCCUGUUAUUGGGGAAGAACAGCUGUGGCAGUAAACAUAGCCGUCUUGACGGUACCGAAUAAAAAAGCACCGGCUAACUACGUG